rnacentral:rRNA from 1 species
CCUACGGGUGGCAGCAGUGAGGAAUAUUGGUCAAUGGGCGCGAGCCUGAACCAGCCAAGCCGCGUGAAGGAUGACUGCCCUACGGGUUGUAACCUUCUUUUAUAAAGGAAUGAAGUGAGGCACGCGUGCCUUUUUGUAUGUACUUUAUGAAUAAGCAUCGGCUAACUCCGUGCCAGCAGCCGCGGUAAUACGGAGGAUCCGAGCGUUAUCCGGAUUUAUUGGGUGUAAAGGGAGCGUAGAUGGGUUGUUAAGUCAGUUGUGAAAGUUUGCGGCUCAACCGUAGAAGUGCAAUUGAUACUGGCAGCCUUGAGUACAGGUGAGGUAGGCGGAAUUCGUGGUGUAGCGGUGAAAUGCUUAGAUAUCACGAAGAACUCCGAUUGCGAAGGCAGCCUACUAAACUGCCACUGACAUUGAUGCUCGAAAGUGUGGGUAUCAAACAGGAUUAGAUACCCGGGUAGUC